rfam:Otolemur garnettii contig130813, whole genome shotgun sequence.
GCUGGGCAUGGUGGUACAUACCUGUAGUCCCAGCUACUCAGGAGGCUGAGGCAGGAGGACUGCCUGAGCCCAGGAGUUCUGGGCUGCAGUCUGUUAUGUUGAUCAGAGUCUGCAAUAAGUUCAGCAUCAAUAUAGUGACUUCUUAGGAGCAGGGGACAACCAGGUUGCCUAGGGAGAGGUCAACUAGCCCAGGUCAGAAACCGAGCAGGUCAAAACCCCUGCACUGAUCAGAAGGAGGAUCAUGCCUAUUAAUAAGCACUGCACUCCAGGCCUGGGCAACAUAUUGAGAUACCAUCUCUC